rnacentral:rRNA from 1 species
CCGACGGGAGCUUGCUCCCUUAGGUCAGCAGCGGACGGGUGAGUAACACGUGGGUAACCUGCCUGUAAGACUGGGAUAACUCCGGGAAACCGGGGCUAAUACCGGAUGCUUGAUUGAACCGCAUGGUUCCAAUCAUAAAAGGUGGCUUUUAGCUACCACUUACAGAUGGACCCGCGGCGCAUUAGCUAGUUGGUGAGGUAACGGCUCACCAAGGCGACGAUGCGUAGCCGACCUGAGAGGGUGAUCGGCCACACUGGGACUGAGACACGGCCCAGACUCCUACGGGAGGCAGCAGUAGGGAAUCUUCCGCAAUGGACGAAAGUCUGACGGAGCAACGCCGCGUGAGUGAUGAAGGUUUUCGGAUCGUAAAACUCUGUUGUUAGGGAAGAACAAGUACCGUUCGAAUAGGGCGGCACCUUGACGGUACCUAACCAGAAAGCCACGGCUAACUACGUGCCAGCAGCCGCGGUAAUACGUAGGUGGCAAGCGUUGUCCGGAAUUAUUGGGCGUAAAGCGCGCGCAGGCGGUUUCUUAAGUCUGAUGUGAAAGCCCCCGGCUCAACCGGGGAGGGUCAUUGGAAACUGGGGAACUUGAGUGCAGAAGAGGAGAGUGGAAUUCCACGUGUAGCGGUGAAAUGCGUAGAGAUGUGGAGGAACACCAGUGGCGAAGGCGACUCUCUGGUCUGUAACUGACGCUGAGGCG